CUCAGGAUGAACGCUAGCUACAGGCUUAACACAUGCAAGUCGAGGGGAAAACGAUAGUUGGAAGCUUGCUUCUGAUAGGCGUCGACCGGCGCACGGGUGAGUAACGCGUAUCCAACCUGCCCAUCACUUGGGGAUAACCUUGUGAAAGUAAGACUAAUACCCAAUGACGUCUCUAGAAGACAUCUGAAAGAGAUUAAAAGAUUUAUCGGUGAUGGAUGGGGAUGCGUCUGAUUAGCUUGUUGGCGGGUAACGGCCCACCAAGGCGACGAUCAGUAGGGGUUCUGAGAGGAAGGUCCCCCACAUUGGAACUGAGACACGGUCCAAACUCCUACGGGAGGCAGCAGUGAGGAAUAUUGGUCAAUGGACGAGAGUCUGAACCAGCCAAGUAGCGUGCAGGAUGACGGCCCUAUGGGUUGUAAACUGCUUUUAUAAGGGAAUAAAGUGGGAGUCGUGACUCUUUUUGCAUGUACCUUAUGAAUAAGGACCGGCUAAUUCCGUG
rnacentral:rRNA from 1 species